GACGAACGCUGGCGGCGUGCUUAACACAUGCAAGUCGAACGGUAAGGCCCUUCGGGGUACACGAGUGGCGAACGGGUGAGUAACACGUGGGUGAUCUGCCCUGCACUUCGGGAUAAGCCUGGGAAACUGGGUCUAAUACCGGAUAGGACCACUGCCUGCAUGGGUGGUGGUGGAAAGCUUUUGCGGUGUGGGAUGGGCCCGCGGCCUAGCAGCUUGUUGGUGGGGUGAUGGCCUACCAAGGCGACGACGGGUAACCGGCCUGAGAGGGUGACCGGCCACGCUGGGACUGAGAUACGGCCCAGACUCCUACGGGAGGCAGCAGUGGGGAAUAUUGCACAAUGGGCGCAAGCCUGAUGCAGCGACGCCGCGUGAGGGAUGACGGCCUUCGGGUUGUAAACCUCUUUCAGCACCGACGAAGCGCAAGUGACGGUAGGUGCAGAAGAAGGACCGGCCAACUACGUGCCAGCAGCCGCCGUAA
rnacentral:rRNA from 1 species